rnacentral:rRNA from 1 species
CGCUGGCGGCGUGCUUAACACAUGCAAGUCGAACGGACUGAGUUGAUAGCUUGCUAUUGAUGAGGUUAGUGGCAAACGGGUGAGUAACGCGUAGGCAACCUGCCCUUCAGAUGGGGACAACACCUCGAAAGGGGUGCUAAUACCGAAUGACGUUUCCUAGUCGCAUGACCUGGAAACCAAAGGCCGGGCAACCGGUCACUGAAGGAUGGGCCUGCGUCUGAUUAGCUAGUUGGUGGGGUAACGGCUCACCAAGGCGACGAUCAGUAGCCGGUCUGAGAGGAUGAACGGCCACAUUGGGACUGAGAUACGGCCCAGACUCCUACGGGAGGCAGCAGUGGGGAAUAUUGCGCAAUGGGGGAAACCCUGACGCAGCAACGCCGCGUGAAGGAUGAAGGUUUUCGGAUCGUAAACUUAUGUCUUCGGGGACGAGAACGGACGGUACCCGAGGAGGAAGCCACGGCUAACUACGUG